AACCUAGCACACCUGCGGUGUGUACCUGCGGAAGGAUCAUUACCGAGUUUACAACUCCCAAACCCCUGUGAACAUACCACUUGUUGCCUCGGCGGAUCAGCCCGCUCCCGGUAAAACGGGACGGCCCGCCAGAGGACCCCUAAACUCUGUUUCUAUAUGUAACUUCUGAGUAAAACCAUAAAUAAAUCAAAACUUUCAACAAUGGAUCU
rnacentral:misc_RNA from 1 species